rnacentral:tRNA from 2 species
GGGGGUGGAUGGGUCCUGGUGGGCCCCCCGGUCUUCAAAACCGUGUGUGAGGUGAGGAGCCUCAGGUGGGUUCGAUUCCCACACACUCCCGCCA